ensembl:lncRNA
CCCUGUCAUGCUAGCAUCCACCUCCAACUUAAAAGGUUUGUCGAAUUUAGGGGCAGCUAGCACUGGGGCACUACAAAGCAGCGCUUUAGCUGACUCGAAGGCCGAGUCACAUUCUGCAGACCAUUUAUACGGCACUUUGGGACUAAGCAAGGACGUCAGGGGAACAACUACCGCUGAGAAGUUCUUGCAGUAGUACCCCCCCAUUCCUAGGAACUGACGCAACUGAGGGUUACAGUAGCCUUGCCGAACUCACAUUUGGCCAAAUUAAGGGUUAGCGAGGCCUUCUCCAAGCGCUGAAGCACCAUCUUCAACGUAGAGAGAUGGUCAGACCAAGUAGGCGAAUGGACUACCACAUCAUCUAGGUAAGCAGUACAAUUUGGUACAUCAGCAAACACAAUGUUAACCAACCGCUGAAAUGUUGUCGGAGCGUUGGACAUACCAAAAGGCAUUACAGUGUACUGCACGAAGUUGUCAGGUGUCACGAAGGCUGAAAUAUCUGAAGCACGAGGGGUCAGAGGCACUUGCCAGUAACCUUUCAGCAAGUUCAACUUACUCACGUAUUUAGCGGAGCCUAUCCUGUCGAUACAGUCCUCCAUCCAAGGCAGUGGGAAUGAAUCCGGUACCGUGACAGAAUUCACACGACGAUAGUCCAUGCAUAAGCGGGACGUACCAUCUGGCUUAGGAACAAGAAUACAUGGAGAACUCCAGGAGCUGUUACUGGGCUUAGCCAUGUCAUUCUUUAACAAGUACUCAACCUCACCUUCCAUUAUUUCUCUUUUUCAAGCGUUUACUCGAUAAGGAUGUUCCACAAAUGUGGUUGCUGACAUGUUAUCGCAUACUCACUAUGUGUAGGAAUUGUGCAUGUUUGCUAUAGUUGCAAACUGAGGGUUUGCAUCUUUUGGGGUGGGCGUGUUAAGUCCCCAGUGCUUUCUUUUGCUUUGUGUUCGUAUGUGUUUUUGUCCCUUGGUGUUCUAUGUGGUGGUUGCAGGCUAAUUGGCUUCCUGAUCGCCGGUUGCAGCUGAUUGGUCGGUUUUGGGCUGAUUGGAGAGCCCCUACGCCAGCUCGUCAGUGGUUAUAGCUGGUUUAGCCUGCAUAUAAGCCACAGUUCUGGUAUCUCACGGGAGAGUCACACCUGCUGUUGCUUUCGGUCUGUGAGGUAGAAAGACCGUUUGUGAUUAAUGAUUAAGUACAUUGUGUGUUGUGGCAAUUGUUUGUGUUAAAAUCUUUUUCAUUUGUUUCCAGGGGGAAGGGGAAAGCCAUUGUGCUUUAGGCAAGAGGCCCUGGGGCAUACACCUCCCGUAGCUUUACUCUCUCUAAAACCACUAGGUAAGACCUGGGCGGCCAACCCCCUGUAGUUUGAUUAGAGCACCAGCGCAAGAGGUGCUAGUUAAGUUAGAUCUCAGUUUGGCAGGUAAGGUAGGGUUAGAGGGUUUGGGUUUACUUUUAUGUUCUUUGCUUUGGUUCCGUCCAGCCCCUUUUUCCUGAAUUACCGUUGUGUUAAUUAAAUAGUACUGUGAACGGUAGUCCUGCCUCUGUCGUCCAUACUCGCACCCACGACCCCAUUCUCAUUCUGUCAAGUC